AUUGAACGCUGGCGGCAUGCUUUACACAUGCAAGUCGAACGGUAACAGGCCGCAAGGUGCUGACGAGUGGCGAACGGGUGAGUAAUGCAUCGUAACGUGCCCAGUCGUGGGGGAUAACGCAGCGAAAGCUGUGCUAAUACCGCAUACGAUCUAUGGAUUAAAGCUGGGGACCGUAAGGCCUCUCGCGAUUGGAGCUGCCGAUGUCAGAUUAGGUAGUUGAUGGGGUAAAGGCACACCAAGGCGACGAUCUGUAGCUGGUCUGAGAAGACGGCCAGCCACACUGGGACUGAGACACGGCCCAGACUCCUACGGGAUGCAGCAGUGGGGAAUUUUGGAUAAUGGGCGCAAGCCUGAUCCAGCAAUGCCGAGUGCAGGAAGAAGGCCUUCGGGUUGUAAACUGCUUUUGUACGGAACGAAACGGCCUGGGUUAAUACCCUGGGCUAAUGACGGUACCGUAAGAAUAAGCACCGGCUAACUACGUGCCAGCAGCCGCGGUAACAC
rnacentral:rRNA from 1 species